rnacentral:rRNA from 1 species
UACAGAGGGGGCAAGCGUUAUUCGGAAUUAUUGGGCGUAAAGGGCGCGUAGGCGGCGAUUCAAGUGACGGGUGAAAUCCCUCGGCUUAACCGAGGAACUGCCUGUCAGACUGGAUUGCUUGAGGCCGGGAGAGGCGAGUGGAAUUCCCAGUGUAGCGGUGAAAUGCGUAGAUAUUGGGAGGAACACCAGUGGCGAAGGCGGCUCGCUGGACCGGUUCUAACGCUGAGGCGCGAAAGCGUGGGGAGCAAACAGG